rnacentral:rRNA from 1 species
CAAUAGCGUAUAUUAAAGUUGUUGCAGUUAAAAAGCUCGUAGUUGGAUUUGUGGCGUACGGUGUGUUCCGGGCACUUGUUGUCUGAGUAACCUGCUGUUGCCAUCCUUGGGUAGAACCUGUGUGGCAUUAGGUUGUCGUGCAGGGGAUGCCCAUCAUUUACUGUGAAAAAAUUAGAGUGUUCAAAGCAGGCUUAUGCCGUUGAAUAUAUUAGCAUGGAAUAAUGAGAUAGGACUUUUUUGCUAUUUUGUUGGUUUGCGCAAAGAGGUAAUGAUUAAUAGGGACAGUUGGGGGUAUUCGUAUUCCAUUGUCAGAGGUGAAAUUCUUGGAUUUUUGGAAGACGAACUACUGCGAAAGCAUUUACCAAGGAUGUUUUCAUUAA